rnacentral:miRNA from 1 species
UAGAGCUCUGAAGUUACCACCCAC